UACGUAUCCAAGCGUUAUGAAGAAGUGAGUUUUUGUUGAUUGAUGAUUUGUCUCUAACAUUUGCUCUCUUCAUUGUAUCCCUCUCUAGUUCAAAGUGGAAGGCUGUGAGAAGUGCAGUAGUCUUUUCAACAAAGAAGGCCGUGUGCGGACUGUGAACACUGCGUCUGCGGGGGGGUCUGAGGAGCAAGAUGAGGAGAAGGAGAGUCUGAAGAUCCAGCUGAGAGAGAUGGAGCUGGAGCUGGCCCAGACCAAACUGCAGCUGGUGGAGGCCGAGUGCAAACUCCAGGACCUGGAGCACCACCUGGGUCUGGCCCUGAACGAGAUGCAGGCCGCCAAGAAGACCUGGUUCAACCGAACGCUCAGCUCCAUCAAGACCGUCACGGGGAACCAGGGCAAGGAGACCACCUAACCUGAUAGCCCCUUCCCCAGUUUUACCCAGGCCAUGUGUGGAGCUCCCCACACUGAAACCUGCGGGCACAUAACUUAACCCACCGACUUUAACAUGAACAUUGACCGUUAAAUCCAAGGACGUCCAUUACUACGGACUGUGUUUCUUGUUCCUCUUAUUAAGAAUGUCGUCAUGCAUAAUCCCCAUCCAUUAUACCCCCCUCCACCCCCAAAUGACUACAGCCAAAUGUGCUGCUGAGAAGGGGCAGAAACGUUCCCCAGAGACACCAUGUGCUUCCACCGGUCACAGAAAAAAAGCGUGAUGCUUCAUUUAUUUCUGUCUUUGUACUGCUGAUGAUAACGACCCGCAGAAGAAAGGCAGGACAUCUGAAGAGUUACUGUCCUGACGGGAUAGAGAAGAAAACACUCCGUCCUUCCUCACUCUUCUGCGGGAUCCCCUCUAAACUACUGGUGCAACCAGGCCCUGUCAAAUGUUCCUUUUAGGUACGAGAGCUAAUAGACGCCUUUUCAAAACUGAGCUUUUUUCUAAUUUACGUUAAAAAACACCUUUUUGUUUUCUACAUGUAUGUAUGUACAUGAAUGUGCUUAUGUAAUGAGCAUAUGUGUGUAUGUGUAAGCACGCAUGUUUUGUGUUGACUAUGGGGUGUAUGUGAGACUGAAAAUAUGUGUUUGAAUGCAUAAAUAAUAGACUGAAGUAACGUUAAAAUGUGUAUACGAGGAAGAGGGAGACAAUGUGUGGGAAGGGAAAGAAAAAAGAACUAAGGUUAUGUGUGUGUGUGUGUGUGUGUGUGUGUGUGUGUGUGUGUGUGUGUGUGUGUGUGUGUGUGUGUGUGUGUGUGUAAGGGGAAAGAGUGUUUCCCUGGUUGUCUAGUUUCCUUUAUUGUUUAAAUGUGCAUAUGAAUGAUGCUGAAGAAAAGUUUGCUGACAAAGCCUUGAUCAGAAGGUCGAUAACAUUGAAACUAGUGGAUGUGUGUGAAUAUAUAAAUUACAGUCAAUUGUCCUCACAUCAAAUAUCUGACAUUUAACAUGCUUGAGGUUUGUUUGGUUUGGAUGUCCCAGCACAAAGAAACUAAAAAAAGCUCCAAACCGUGCAAACCUUCUCAUGUAGUAUACACUUUGUGUAUUUAUGUUACAACACUGUUAAAGUGGUGCAAUGCUUUUUCAAACCCUAAACAUCACUUUGUGGAAGUCAAAAUAGAAAGGCCACGCACAGGACGUUGUGAUUCCUGCUGCACUUGAACACACCUUCAACCCCCUGCUGUAAGGCCCAGCUGCUCUGUGACCUUCGACCUCUGAACUAGACAGGCAGGGUCAUGUGUGGUACUCCAUCGAGCAGGACGGUUUUGUUUUUCACACUUCAGUCGGAUAUUUGGGUUCUCUUUCACCACUACACACUGAAUUACACUGUUGGUUUUAUAUAUUGGCAGAUACAGAACAAACACACAGUGGCUGAUUUAUGUGGGACACCUGCUUCUAUUUCUGAGGACAAUUUCUAAUUGUUUGGUCACUUUCUAGCAAAGAAUAGUAUGAUGUUGGAUCGAAAAGAUGUAAUGAUUAUUAUAGUGUGAAGAUCAGCAACACUUUAACAGGAGGGCCAUAUGACAGAUACGUACAGAAGUGUAAGCAUGAUUAAUGGUUGAAAAAUGCUGAAUGAUGCAACAAAUGUUAGUUUCUUUUGUCCCAUGCUGAUGGUAGAAAGCAAAGGAAGUCAUUAAAAGCUUGUUUCCUGUGUUGAGUCAAAGUUGAAGUUAUGAUUUUUCUUGACUUAAAAUUAGAUCCCGUAGUGUCACUGCCACUGUGUAGAAAAGCUACCGACCAUCAUCUCAAGAUAAAUCCAGCGACAUGACAGAAAUCUGUGUUUGUUCCGGCUCCCUGCACUCAUUGAGAACACAUUUGGGAGGAGGUGGAACAAGAGAUCAAGCAUCUCGCAGCCUCCAAAAAUCAGCAGGAAUAGAUCGAUGGAACCUGCUUGGAGCGAAGUCCCUUGAAACAUGUUUGAACUCCUCGAUGAAUUCAUGCCUCAAAGAAUUCCUCUUGUUCAGGAGGCCAUAGCAGAUGUAGAACUAUCAAAGUGGAUGUGAUUGUAGAAGCAGAAAAUGAACACGUAAAACUGCAGAAGUGAAACUCUGCACCUCUAGCUUGGAUCGGUAUCACAGAAGAUGCACCAUCAGUCGCAGGGAUCAGAGGUCAAUGCAGAGGUCAAGCUGACAUGCUCGCGAUGGGGGGUUUCAAAAGUGCAUGCGUGUGUGUUUUCAUAUUUAGGGGGGCAACCAUUUCUCAAUUUCUAUUCACUGAUCAAAUGAGACUGGAGAAUAAAAACAAACAGUGAAAACUGUAUUUCUGUUUCCAGCCUAAACUGAACAGUUACUGUUUUUUUUAAUUUAACGUGAAGGUGGAAUCUGAUUGGCUGAAAUCUGCUGGUGAUGUCAGAGGAAGGACCAAGAUGAAGUUAUUCCUCUAAAGGCACUGGGUUGUAUAUAACAAACAUUUAAACAUUAAUAUUGAGUUUUUGUUCAUGAUUUUCUACUCUGUAAAGAUAACUAAUUUUGCCUACUUGUAUCUACCAACCUGCUGCCGUGCUACCGUUUAAUUCACAACAAUGUUUUCUGUUGUUAUUUUUGCUCUGAGCUUCUCAGUCAAACUGCUGUUUGGUUAAUUAAAUGCCAAAAUGUAGCUUUAU